CAAAAAAUUAAUUUUGAAUCUAAAUAAAAACAAUAAUCUGUGCAUGUGUGUGUUUUUGUGUUCGCACGAGUUUGCUUCAAGCAGUGCGCAAAUGCUGUACGCGGCGGAGACGGUUCAACAAAAUAGUUCAGACGAUAUUUGAAGGCUUCUUCUGGAGAGGAGGGUGAGAGAUUCACGAGUUCAAGAGCAAAAGGGCGUGUUGAAACUGACAUCUUAAAUUGCCCGUUUUAGUUGAUAAUUGGAAUGGGUGUCUAUCAUCUCCAUCUACAUCAUUUGCUCCGCAAAGGAUGGAAAUUACUACCACAUCUCAAAACCUACAAAGCACUAACGAAAUUAUAGAAACUACGCCUUCAAAGAUUGUUAUUUCAGCUCGAAAGAAAUUUGUGAAGACCA